GUUGAGGAAGUUACACAUUAAAAAUUAUUGUCUCAAUAACUAGCCAUUACAAAAAUAAUUUGCCGUAAUGGAAAGGCAAGGAAAACUUGAUAGAAUGCAUACAUAUGGUUUGAAGCAGAGGCAGUUGCUCCAUCUUGUUCGAAAAAAGAUGGAUGGUUAUUUUGGCCGACUUGUGUUCAUGCAAUGAAAGCUACCUAUAAUAAUUUUUCAACCAUUGACUCCUGCAACAAGCUUAGACUUAAAAGAGUUAAUGUAACUGGAGAUAAAGAAGUAUGUGCAGGAUUUAAUUUCACGACUAAAGAGGACUCCGAAGAAGAAUUUCUGGUGGAACAAAGAUCGAGGAAUGAUUUGGUUUUAACUGUUUUGCAUCUUAUGAACAAAGUACAUAAUAUGAUUUAAAUUGAUGAUUUAUAGUUACACCUAUUAAAAUUCUGUAUCUCAAUGAUAUCCUGGCUUAUCGAUACGAUAUUCUGUAAAUCCACUCACAUACAAGUUUUACUUACACACGUAAUUCCUGUAAAUUCACUCACACACAUAAAUCUCAAAAAAGAUGUUUUUAUUUUUA